rnacentral:rRNA from 1 species
UACGGAGGGGGCUAGCGUUGUUCGGAAUUACUGGGCGUAAAGCGCGCGUAGGCGGACCUGCAAGUCGGGGGUGAAAGCCCGAGGCUCAACCUCGGAACUGCCUUCGAUACCUGCGGGUCUCGAGUCCGGGAGAGGUGAGUGGAACUGCGAGUGUAGAGGUGAAAUUCGUAGAUAAUUCGCAAGAACACCAGUGGCGAAGGCGGCUCACUGGUCCGGUACU